rnacentral:rRNA from 1 species
AUUGAACGCUGGCGGCAGGCUUAACACAUGCAAGUCGAGCGGGGUGAUGGUGCUUGCACUAUCACUUAGCGGCGGACGGGUGAGUAAUGCUUAGGAAUCUGCCUAUUAGUGGGGGACAACAUCUCGAAAGGGAUGCUAAUACCGCAUACGUCCUACGGGAGAAAGCAGGGGAUCACUUGUGACCUUGCGCUAAUAGAUGAGCCUAAGUCGGAUUAGCUAGUUGGUGGGGUAAAGGCCUACCAAGGCGACGAUCUGUAGCGGGUCUGAGAGGAUGAUCCGCCACACUGGGACUGAGACACGGCCCAGACUCCUACGGGAGGCAGCAGUGGGGAAUAUUGGACAAUGGGGGGAACCCUGAUCCAGCCAUGCCGCGUGUGUGAAGAAGGCCUUAUGGUUGUAAAGCACUUUAAGCGAGGAGGAGGCUCUUUUGGUUAAUACCCAAGAUGAGUGGACGUUACUCGCAGAAUAAGCAGUGGCUAACUCUGUGCCAGCAGCCGCAGUAA